UUAAGGAAAGCCAAAUUAGAGGCAUUUUAUUGUUAAUAAAAAAAUUGAUUUAUUAAUCUCCUUAA
rnacentral:tRNA from 1 species